CCUACGGGAGGCAGCAGUGGGGAAUAUUGCACAAUGGGGGAAACCCUGAUGCAGCGACGCCGCGGGAGUGAAGAAGUAUCUCGGUACGUAAAGCUCUAUCAGCAGGAAAGAAAAUGACGGUACCUGACUAAGAAGCCCCGGCUAACUACGUGCCAGCAGCCGCGGUAAUACGUAGGGGGCAAGCGUUAUCCGGAUUUACUGGGUGUAAAGGGAGCGUAGACGGCGCUGCAAGUCCGGAGUGAAAGCCCAUGGCUUAACCAGUGUACUGCUCUGGAAACUGUAGAGCUUGAGUGCGGGAGGGGCAGGCGGAAUUCCUAGUGUAGCGGUGAAAUGCGUAGAUAUUAGGAGGAACACCGGCGGCGAAGGCGGCCUGCUGGACCGUAACUGACGUUGAGGCUCGAAAGCGUGGGGAGCAAACAGGAUUAGAUACCCCAGUAGUC
rnacentral:rRNA from 1 species